GACGAACGCUGGCGGCGUGCUUAACACAUGCAAGUCGAACGGAAAGGCCCUUCGGGGUACUCGAGUGGCGAACGGGUGAGUAACACGUGGGUGAUCUUCCCUGCACUUUGGGAUAAGCCUGGGAUACUGGGUCUAAUACCGAAUAGGACUACGCGCUCCAUGUUGAGUGGUGGGAUGCUUUUGCGGUGUGGGAUGGGCCCGCGGCCUAUCAGCUUGUUGGUGGGGUAAUGGCCUACCAAGGCGACGACGGGUAGCCGGCCUGAGAGGGUGACCGGCCACACUGGGACUGAGAUACGGCCCAGACUCCUACGGGAGGCAGCAGUGGGGAAUAUUGCACAAUGGGCGCAAGCCUGAUGCAGCGACGCCGCGUGAGGGAUGACGGCCUUCGGGUUGUAAACCUCUUUCAAUAGGGACGAAGCGCAAGUGACGGUACCUAGAGAAGAAGCACCGGCCAACUACGUG
rnacentral:rRNA from 1 species